rnacentral:rRNA from 1 species
CGAGAGGCCCAAACGUUAUUCGGAUUUACUGGGCUUAAAGAGUUCGUAGGCCGCGCGGAAAGUAGGGUGUGAAAGCCCUCGGCUCAACCGAGGAACUGCGCUCUAAACUACCGUGCUUGAGGAACCUAGAGGUGAGCAGAACUGAUGGUGGAGCGGUGAAAUGCGUUGAUAUCAUCAGGAAUACCGGAGGCGAAGGCGGCUCACUGGGGGUUUUUCUGACGCUGAGGAACGAAAGCCAGGGGAGCAAACGGGAUUAGAUACCCCGGUAGUCCUGGCCGUAAACGAUGAGCACUAGACCGGAGGACUGCACAGUUUUCCGGUCGUAGCGAAAGUGAAAGUGCUCCGCCUGGGGAGUAUGGUCGCAAGGCUG